rnacentral:lncRNA from 1 species
GUAUCUAAUAUCUUAUCUGCGAUAUAUCUUGUAAGUGAGGAUUCACUCCUAUUAUCUAAUCUGAGUGUGUAUUCACUCCUAUCUUCCUGUAUUUGGUUCUAACACCCGAUUAGAUCCAAUAUACAUUAUAAGUAACUUCAGUGCUUGAUUACUAGUUAAAGUACAGUUAGAUUCAGUGCAUUAAGAGGCAACAUCAUCAGAAUUACUAAAAACGACCAUUGACGCUGACGAUGGAGCAAUAAGGCCCUGAGCCAGGACCCGAUGCCAUCGAAGAACCUCAGUACAAUGCGGAAGAACAAGCAGAAUCUGUAUCGGAACCCAUCGCCACCGGAGAAUCACAGCCAGGACCUCCUAAUUUACAACGACUCAUAUAAUUUU